AGACCCGAAACCCGGUGAUCUAGCCAUGGGCAGGUUGAAGGUUGGGUAACACUAACUGGAGGACCGAACCGACUAAUGUUGAAAAAUUAGCGGAUGACCUGUGGCUGGGGGUGAAAGGCCAAUCAAACCGGGAGAUAGCUGGUUCUCCCCGAAAGCUAUUUAGGUAGCGCCUCGUGAAUUCAUCUCCGGGGGUAGAGCACUGUUUCGGCUAGGGGGCCAUCCCGGCUUACCAACCCGAUGCAAACUGCGAAUACCGGAGAAUGUUAUCACGGGAGACACACGGCGGGUGCUAACGUCCGUCGUGAAGAGGGAAACAACCCAGACCGCCAGCUAAGGU
rnacentral:rRNA from 3 species